CAUCUCUGGUGUUCUCGGAGAGUAGCUCUGGUGGGCUCUGGAAAACAUCUCUGGUGGUCUCUGGAGAGCAGCUCUAGUGUUGUCUGGAGAGCAGCCCUGGUGGGCCCUGGAAAACAGCUCUGGUGGGCUCUGGGACACCCAGCACUGAGGGUGGCCAUGAGCAUCUUUUCCUUGGGACCUUGGGUCAGGCUGCAGUGCUGGGAUGGGCACAGGAAAUCUCUGCCUGCCUUUUCCUUUACCAGCAGAAAGGAAUGUUCAGAAUAAAUCCCACUGACCUGGGGUGCACUGGAGCUCCGGAGCGGUGGCCUUGGCGUGUUUGUGUUGGUGAGAAGAAAAUGUGUUUUGGCAGGGCCUGGGGCUGCAGCCAAUGCCCUUUUCCGUUCCCCUGGGCAUGUUUUGUCUGUGGGAUGACACCUGAGCACUGAGUGAUGACCUGCAGAGCUGUUCCUACAGAGCACACAGAGCUGGUUUUCCAGGAGAGCUGCGUGUGCUCGUGAGUGGAUGUGGGAUCAAACACCAGAUUGUGCAACCACUUGUGUUGACAUAACAGGUCUUGCUCUGCUGCUCACUGGAAGCAAAGCGGAGCAGACGUUUCCUGGAGCUGUAAAUUCACCCCUCACUGACUGCUGGCACCCGGGAUGGACAGGUUUGUGUGGGGAUGUGACUCACCCAGGAGGUUACACAGGGCCCUUCUCACACAGGGUGGGAGGCCGGGGCUCUGAGGGUUCCCAGGAAUUCCCCAUGGCAACACAAACACAGCGCUGCUGUGCACGCGAGGAACAGGCACUGGGGCGCAGCCAGGACACGGCAACUCCUUAACCUUUAGACAAACCAAACUCCACAGGAACAGGAAUUCUUUGGUGGCUGUGUAACCCAUGAGUGCCAGGCCUCACAAACCUGAAAUCAGAGAACAAAGAGCUUGUUAUUGGUGCACUGAUUUAAAAGGAUUUAGCAGGAGAGAUCUGGACUGGGCCAAUGGCAUGGCUGAUACACAGAGUACAAAACAGAAUUCUGUACAUGGAUACAAGACAUUAAUGACUGAAUAGUUGAGCAGCUGUAUGUUUUUGGGAUUCUCUAGUGUUCCUGUAAAGGGUGCAUAAAACUGAAGCUGAGGCCAGGAGAAGGAGUCAAGUGUUGGUCUGCAAUAAAUGGAUAGCAAAGAUAUGGAGAAAGAACAAAUCGCUGAUUUUGUGUGUGCACAGCACACAGCUGCAGCAACCUGAGCUCGGUGCUUGGAGCAUGAGGAGCCCUGAAGGCUGGAAAUGGAGGCUGGAAAGGGCUGAUCCUCAUUUUGUACAGUUUUUAUAACCGUCCUGAUGUGUGUUUUCCACCUGCCCUCCUCACCCUGGUGCUGCCUCGCCGUGCUGGACAGUGCCCCAGCACACGCCAGUCCCACGGGCAGCAUCUCCUGGUUUCUGGGCGCCACCUCUUGGUGCUGGGACAGCUCCUCCGUUUGUGCUGGAUAUGGCACUGAGGGACUUGUGCUCAGAUUUCUGUUCUCCAGCGAGGAAAGCCAUGGAUGUGAAGGGCAGCAGCUCAUCUGAAACGUCCCUGCAGCAGCAGCUGCAAGUUUAGUACCACCACCCGGGGAAAUGAGAAAUACCUGCAUCUCUGAAACCCAUUCCAGACCUGCCCUUGUGAACGACACAGCUGUGAGCUGAAACGGAUUGAUAAACAGAUUAAUUUCAUGUUUUGGGUCAGAUGAGGUUUGUCCGGUUGGGUUUUGUUGCUGUUUUACUCCUUAUAUUGUUUUUGUGGGUUUUUUUAGCCCCCAUUAGUAGCCCAUACCAGAUCUUCCAGAGAAACCCACUAUAUCCCAUAGGGAGACUGUGGUAUGAAGUGGAAACAUCACAGGAUGAGGUUCAGCAUCCUGUUCAUUAACUCACAGGUGCAUUUCCCCGCUGCCUUUCCAUCCAUCCAUCC